AUUGAACGCUGGCGGCAGGCCUAACACAUGCAAGUCGAACGAGUGGCGGACGGGUGAGGAAUACAUCGGACUCUACCCUGUCGUGGGGGAUAACGUAGGGAAACUUACGCUAAUACCGCAUACGAUUGAAUGAGCCGAUGUCUGAUUAGCUAGUUGGUGGGGUAAAGGCCCACCAAGGCGACGAUCCGUAGCUGGUCUGAGAGGAUGAUCAGCCACACUGGAACUGAGACACGGACCAGACUCCUACGGGAGGCAGCAGUGGGGAAUAUUGAACAAUGGGCGCAAGCCUGAUGCAGCCAUGCCGCGUGUAUGAAGAAGGCCUUCGGGUUGUAAAGCCCUUUUGUUGGGGAAGCGUUACCCAAAGAAGAAGCACCGGCUAACUUCGUGCCAGCAGCCGCGGUAAUUC
rnacentral:rRNA from 1 species